rnacentral:rRNA from 1 species
CUAAUACAUGCAANGUCGAACGGNAGAAUUAAGUAGCUUGCUAUUUAAUCUUAGUGGCGCACGGGUGAGUAAUAUAUAGCUAACUUGCCCAUUACUAAGGGACAACAGUUGGAAACGACUGCUAAUACCUUAUACUCCGUAUCUAUAUAAGUAGAUACGGGAAAGUUUUUCGGUAAUGGAUAGGGCUAUAUCGUAUCAGCUAGUUGGUAAGGUAAUGGCUUACCAAGGCUAUGACGCGUAACUGGUCUGAGAGGAUGAUCAGUCACACUGGAACUGAGACACGGUCCAGACUCCUACGGGAGGCAGCAGUAGGGAAUAUUGCUCAAUGGGGGAAACCCUGAAGCAGCAACGCCGCGUGGAGGAUGACACUUUUCGGAGCGUAAACUCCUUUUCUUGGGAAAGAAUUAUGACGGUACCCAAGGAAUAAGCACCGGCUAACUCCGUGCCAGCAGCCGCGGUAAUACGGAGGGUGCAAGCGUUACUCGGAAUCACUGGGCGUAAAGGACGCGUAGGCGGAUUAUCAAGUCUCUUGUGAAAUCUAACGGCUUAACCGUUAAACUGCUUGGGAAACUGAU